rnacentral:lncRNA from 1 species
GUGGGAGCUUUGCUGUCGGCUUGGCAGUAACCCAGCUCCCGGGGAGAGGCGAGGGCAGUUGUCCCCUGCUUGUGACUUUGCCCUGUGGCACAGAAGAGCGCUGUCCUGGCAGCAAAUGCUCAUCAGGUUUUGCUCAGAAACAGGGAUCUGGAGAGAAAUACGUGCCAAGAACCAGGACCCCUUACCGCCACGCGGUGAGUUGGAAAUUGGGGCGUUUGUGUGGGCUGGAUGACAGGAGCUGGGCAGAGGGGCCGGAGCGCCAUCCCGGUACUGCCGCGGUGGCGGAAACGCCCGAGAAAGGGAAGGGGAAGCAUUGGGUUUCUUGCUUGAAACGGGACUUUUUUUUGCUACAUAUGCGCAAUUUAUGGUGCAAUAGUGUCCCCUAGUGCUUAGUUAUUCCUGGAGCAGCUGCCUGUUGCCUGAUGAGGUUUCUUCUUUUUUUUUUUUUUGACAGCGCAGAUUCAGCUCCUCACCUGUAGCCUUGUCCUGUUUUCCCUGGUGUUGGUCACACUCAGUUGCCCCUGUGCCACCCCUGCCUGCAUUGCAUUUUUAUUUUAUAAUUUUUGGGUCUUCCCUCUCUGCCUUCCUCUUUUUUUUUUUUGUUGGGGUUGGGGUUUUUUUCCAUGUUUUCUUCCUUAUCCUGGAGGAAUGCUCAGGCUGGGGAGGACCCAGCCACAGAAUGGGGUCCAGCAGCACCCAUCGGUCCCCAUGGGGACCCCAGCCAUGGCAGGGGCAGCGAGCAGGGUCCCUCCUCCUGCUCUGGCCUCCAACAGCACCAUCCGCUGUGCCAAGCCAGCGCUGGGUUUGUGCUGCACGGCUGGCUCAGCGCAGAGCUCGGACCUGCAAAGCUUUCGCUGGAAGCUGGUGGCCUGGAUCUACCCUCGACCGGUAUCACUGGUGUGUGUGCCUCUCUACCCUCUUCCUCCCCAGACUGAAAGGGCAGUCUGGGCAAUCAUUUCCUCAAAAUCCAACUUCUAAUCCGGCGAUUCAAGAUGAGCAUUGCUGGCUUUUGUGUGUGGAACCCUGUAUCACCGCUGGCCUUGUACACUCCUUAUGGCUCUCCAGGAAUUUAAAAAUAGUUAAGGCUCCCCUCAGACUUGUUCCAUGCUGUUCUGUAAUUUCUGACCCAUCUAAUCAGGGCCUUCUUUCCAGGCAGUUUGGUCACAAUGCUGCUUGUGCCAAAUAUUUCUUCUGUGCAGCCUUGCCAUCUGGAACAGCCUGCCUGUGUGCCUUCAGCCUCCACCAGCUGGCUGUAAAACUUCCAGCUUCAGCUGAAAAAAUUUUUUCCCUUACGGUCAUGCCAUAGCAAUCUGAAUGUAGGAUGUAGGCAGCAAACAUUCAGUCAUUUAUUUUCCGUGGUGUGGGGAUAGUUCUCAUACUUGAAGCAAUUUCAGUUUUAAAGGAGCCCUGGAGCUUGUGGAAUGUGGGCAGUUUUUAGAUCUUUCAUACUAAGCCUCACUAAAAACUAGCUACAACUCUGUAAACUUUUCUAUCAGACAUGAUGUUUGCUAGAACUACCAGUGAAUACCUUGCUAGGAUAUCAAGUAUAUUUAGAAUGGAAAAUUACGGGGAAAGAAUUAUUUAAUGAAAGGCUGGAGAGAAAGGAAAAGGAUUUUUCUAAGUGCUAGAAUACUGCAUUAUUACCUACAAAGGAAUUCUUGUAAUAAUCAAAGCUGGGAGGUCCAAUAGCCUUCAGUGCAAAGAAUGCUCAGCAUUCACCCCCGAAGACCUUCUUUAUUCUGGGUAUCAGACACAGUGUGCUCAUGACGGGGAAUCAGACCUUCCUAUAUCACACAAGA